GCUCAAUCGGUAGAGCGUGAGACUCUUAAUCUCAAGGUUGCGGGUUCGACCCCCGC
rnacentral:tRNA from 1 species